rnacentral:lncRNA from 1 species
GAAACUCCAUCUCAAAAAAAAAUUAGAUCAGUUAAUAUUUAAGAAAGCCAAAAAUCCAAUCAGGAUUAACUGGUCACUGCAACUUCUGCCUCCUGGGUUCAAGAAAUCCUCCUACCUCAGCCUCCCUAGUAGCUUGGACUACAGGCGCAGACCACUGCACCUGGCUAAUUUUUGCUGUCUUAGUAGAGGCAGGGUUUUACCAUGUUGGCCAGGCUCAUCUUGAACUCCUGAUCUCAGAUGAUCCAC